rnacentral:hammerhead_ribozyme from 1 species
AUCCAGCUGACGAGUCCAAAAUAGGACGAAAUACACGUCCUGGAU